rnacentral:tRNA from 1 species
CACUAAGAAGCUAAACUGGAACAGCAUUAGUCUUUUGAACUAAAUAUUGGUGACUACCAUCCACCCUUAGUGA